UACGUAGGUGGCAAGCGUUAUCCGGAAUUAUUGGGCGUAAAGAGCUCGUAGGCGGUUUGGUAAGUUGGAUGUGAAAUCUCCAGGCUCAACUUGGAGGGGUCAUUCGAUACUGCCAUGACUAGAGUUCGGUAGGGGAGUGUGGAAUUCCUGGUGGAGCGGUGAAAUGCGCAGAUAUCAGGAGGAACACCCGUAGCGAAGGCGGCACUCUGGGCCGGAACUGACGCUGAGGAGCGAAAGCGUGGGGAGCGAACAGG
rnacentral:rRNA from 1 species